rnacentral:rRNA from 1 species
GAUUCGUUCUCAAAUCAGGCGAGACUACCCGCUGAACUUAAGCAUAUCACUAAGCGGAGGAAAAGAAACUAACAAGGAUUCCCCUAGUAACGGCGAGUGAACAGGGAAGAGCUCAAGCCUAAAAUCUUCGGAAUUGUAGUCUAUAGGUGCGAACUUGUGCAGUCCCGGGUAGAAAUCCGUUCUUGGAACUGGGUGCCAGAGAGGGUUAGAGCCCCGUCUUUGACUCGGCCGACUGUGCGUGAUAAGGUCGCUCCAGAGAGUCGGCUUGCUUGGGAAUGCAGGCCAAAGUGGGUGGUAAACUCCAUCUAAAGCUAAAUAUUGGCGAGAGACCGAUAGCGAACAAGUACUGUGAAGGAAAGAUGGAAAGAACUUUGAAAAGAGAGUGAAAAAGGGCUUGAAAUUGUUGAGAGGAGAAGUGAUUGGAGCCUAUCCUGUGCAGCGGGAUCCUAGGGCUGGAGCUUGCUCCAACCUGCACCAUGCCGUUGCGCUGGCCAGCAUCGGUUCUUUGUGGGAGACAAGGCUUAGAGGGUGGAAGGGUAACACCGACUGGCUCUGAGCGCAUGACCCGUGGAGGACCGAGGCACUAAGAACGCGCCUAGCGGCCGGCCCAUUGUGCUCCUAGCUUUGUAACUGCACACUCCGGUGUUCGGUUGCAUCGUCUUGGCAGAUACAGUGGAGCGCUGGACCUGCGUUCUGAAGAUGCUGGCAUAAUGGCUUCAACCAGCCCGUCUUGAAAACGGACCAAGGAGUCUAACACGUAUGCGAGUAGUAAGGUGGCAAACCUUGGAUGCGAAAUGAAAGUGAACGUAGGUGGGAUCCUCUAACGGGGUGCACCAUCGACCGACCAGGAUCUAUUGUGAAGGUUUGAGUCAGAGCAUAUUUGUUGGGACCCGAAAGAUGGUGAACUAUGCCUGAAUAGGGUGAAGCCAGAGGAAACUCUGGUGGAGGCUCGUAGCGGUACUGACGUGCAAAUCGUUCGUCAAAUUUGGGUAUAGGGGCGAAAGACUAAUCGAACCAUCUAGUAGCUGGUUCCCUCCGAAGUUUCCCUCAGGAUAGCUGGA